AGAGUUUGAUCAUGGCUCAGAACGAACGCUGGCGGCAUGCCUAACACAUGCAAGUCGAACGAGACCUUCGGGUCUAGUGGCGCACGGGUGCGUAACGCGUGGGAAUCUGCCUUUAGGUUCGGAAUAACUCGGGGAAACCCGUGCUAAUACCGGAUAAUGACUUCGGUCCAAAGAUUUAUCGCCUAAAGAUGAGCCCGCGUAGGAUUAGCUAGUUGGUGAGGUAAGAGCUCACCAAGGCGACGAUCCUUAGCUGGUCUGAGAGGAUGAUCAGCCACACUGGGACUGAGACACGGCCCAGACUCCUACGGGAGGCAGCAGUCGGGAAUUUUGGGCAAUGGGCGAAAGCCUGACCCAGCAACGCCGCGUGAAGGAUGAAAUCCCUCGGGAUGUAAACUUCACAAGAACGGGAAGAAUAAGUGGAAGAUAACACCUUCCAUGAUGACGGUACUGUUUGUAAGCUCCGGCUAACUCCGUGCCAGCAGCCGCGGUAAUACGAAGGGGGCUAGCGUUGCUCGGAAUCACUGGGCGUAAAGGGCGCGUAGGCGGAUCUUUAAGUCGGGGGUGAAAGCCCAGGGCUCAACCCUGGAAUUGCCUUCGAUACUGAAGAUCUCGAGACCGGAAGAGGUGAGUGGAACUGCGAGUGUAGAGGUGAAAUUCGUAGAUAUUCGCAAGAACACCAGUGGCGAAGGCGGCUCACUGGUCCGGUUCUGACGCUGAGGCGCGAAAGCGUGGGGAGCAAACAGGAUUAGAUACCCUCGUAGUCC
rnacentral:rRNA from 1 species